AUCACAUCGUCAAGGGGGUGUCAAUGCACACAUGGAAAACCUCAAAAGGCGUGUCAAUGUAUGCAAGUGUACAAAAAUAAGACUUUCUUUUCAAAAGCCCAAAACCAAAUAAAACCAAAAGUUACAGAGCCCAGAAUCUGAAACCAAAUAAGUGAAAAAUCCAAGGGGAGCCCAUAACUGGCCACGAAGAAGUUAACGGCUACUAAUUCCUAACAAGAUUGGGAAACAAAGAAAACAAGGAAGCCGCUCAUAAAUACCCACUUACCCAAAAGAAACACCAAAAAAUAAAAAAACUAAAAACCCACUUCCCACCCCUCCCUCUCUUCUCCUCUUUCAAGUCUAAAACGAUCAGAACAGAACCCUUCUCUCUCGGCUCCCCACUGUAACUGUCUUUCGUGCUCUCUCUCCUCUCUCUUACCAGGUUGCAUCAGUGUGAUGAACCAAGGCAUCAGUGAGGAACCAGGGCACUAAAUUUCUCUCCUUGAUAUCCUGUCCUGAAAAAGAAAAUUUCCCGCAUUCGUUUGCCGGGAAAUUUUCUGAGAAACGGAAAGAAGAUCAAGAUGGAAAAUAAUCCAAGAGAAAAUGCCUUGGCCUACGUACUGAAUCAAGUACAAGGAGUCAAACAUUUCAAGGAUGCUCAAGAGAAGUUAAAAAAGAGCAUAUAUGAUAGAGGCUUUCUUCUCUUCAAAAAGGUUAGAGAGAAACUUGGUAAAGACAAGUUCGUCGAAUUCCUAAAGCAACUGCAAAGGUAUAGCAAUGGAAUUAUAGAUUUGACUGAGUUUUUAAACUUGGUGGACGAUGGAGUUCGAGACGAUCAAGAUCUUAUGAACGACAUUGAUGCUUUCUUGGAGCAUUGUGAUAAGGAGCAGAUGAAUUGGUCGCUUAGGAAUGAAAGUUGACCUUUAACAAGUUUUGUUGUAGUUAGUUCCAUUCACCAUUUUAUGAACUUGUGGAUUUUGAAGGUGUGAAUUUGUUGAACUUCUCUUUUCUGCUGUAACAUUUGAACCAAGCUUUUCAUCGGUCUUUGUAUUUUUGGAUAUGACCCUGGCUAGGUUAAAUGUUGAGCUUUGCGAGCUCCCUAUUAUGAACUCGAUGCGCAAUUGUUAUU